GACGAACGCUGGCGGCGUGCCUAAUACAUGCAAGUCGAGUGGAACUGGGGGAGCUUGCUCCUUCCAGUUUAGCGGCGGACGGGUGAGUAACACGUGGGCAACCUGCCCUGCAGAUCGAGAUAACUCCGGGAAACCGGUGCUAAUACCGAAUAGUUUGGCGCCUCUCCUGAGGCGCUACGGAAAGACGGUUUCGGCUGUCACUGCAGGAUGGGCCCGCGGCGCAUUAGCUAGUUGGUGGGGUAACGGCCCACCAAGGCGACGAUGCGUAGCCGACCUGAGAGGGUGACCGGCCACACUGGGACUGAGACACGGCCCAGACUCCUACGGGAGGCAGCAGUAGGGAAUCUUCCGCAAUGGACGCAAGUCUGACGGAGCAACGCCGCGUGAGUGACGAAGGUUUUCGGAUCGUAAAACUCUGUUGUGAGGGAAGAACACGUACCAACUAACUAUUGGUACCUUGACGGUACCUCACCAGAAAGCCACGGCUAACUACGUGCCAGCCGCCGCGGUAA
rnacentral:rRNA from 1 species